GACCCACACCAAGCCUCUAGAUCCCUUGCCCCUUGGGGCAGUGGGGAGCAGAAGAUCCGGUAUGCCGGCUGUUGAAGGAAUGACUUCUUCUGGUCCAGGUUCCAGGUUCACCACAGAGGAUGCAAUGAGGAAACCAGUGCAUUCGAAGCCACCUGUGUCACUGGGUAUGUACAAGAGCAUGUACAAGAAGGAAUACACAUGGAAAGAGGGAAUCAAACCACCCACUGAGGAGGAUGUGCAGAAGCUCAGAGCCAAGGAGUUUGCUGUGCCCAAGGAGCCGCAGGUGAUACCAUACUAUGACAAAGCUGUCAGGGAAGGGAGAGAAGUCGCACCAAAAAGCCAUGCACCAAAGCAGUACCUCACUACUGAACUGGCAGGACCAGAGAGGCCACAGGCUCUCAGUGGCCUAGGAGCAGCAGGGUCGAUGCUGUAUAGGCAGAAGCUGGAUCCGACCUGGGGUACCUACCAGCACUUCAUGCUGGAGGCAGGCCAGGCCCUGCAACACGAGGCUCAGCAGAACAAGAAUAUGGGCAUAGGCUCAUCGGUUUUGAAGAAAGAGGGCUCUGACCAUGACCAGAGAACUACCUACAGCAUCGACUUCCAGGGCCAGCCUGUAGCCGACAAAGGAAGCUGUGUAGCAAAUAAGAAUCAAUCUCACGUUUUCACUGAAGAUGUACUCCUCCGCAAGAACCGCUGGGUGUCUGAAUACAAGGACAACUACAGCGUUCAGCUACAGAAGCUGAAUCGAGCAUCUAAAGGCUACACUGCAGAGCUUGGCUCUGCCUUGAAGCCCCAAGGGGAGUCCUCCCAGAGUGAGGCUGCACCAGACACAGCCCAGUGAAUGGUGCUGCAUGCUCCCUAUUCUCCAAGCCAUGGGAUAUUUUCCACCGUAGAUCCUGGAAGCCUGGAAACGUCUCUUCCAAACCCACCAUUACCAAAUACUUCUAAAUUGUUCAGCAGAAACCUUUUUACGCACAAAUUUCAGGAAGAAACAUGAGCUUUUCUCACUGUCUGAAAUAAAAAGGGUUUUUUGGACGGCGCA
rnacentral:lncRNA from 1 species